rnacentral:tRNA from 1 species
GCGGGCGUAGCUCAAUCGGCAGAGCCCUGGCCUUCCAAGCCAGCUGUUGUGGGUUCGAGUCCCAUCGCCCGCU